rnacentral:rRNA from 1 species
UACAGAGGUCUCAAGCGUUUGUUCGGAUUCAUUGGGCGUAAAGGGUGCGUAGGCGGCGCGGUAAGUCGGGUGUGAAAUCUUGGAGCUUAACUCCGAGACUGCAUUCGAUACUGCCGUGCUUGAGGACUGGAGAGGAGACUGGAAUUUACGGUGUAGCGGUGAAAUGCGUAGAUAUCGUAAGGAAGACCAGUGGCGAAGGCGGGUCUCUGGACAGUUCCUGACGCUGAGGCACGAAGGCCAGGGGAGCAAACGGG